rnacentral:rRNA from 1 species
GACGAACGUUGGCGGCGUGCUUAAUACAUGCAAGUCCACUGAAGCAGUGGUAGCAAUAUCGCUGUGGAGGUGGCGCACGGGUGAGUAACACGUAGGUAAUCUGCCUUCAGGUCUGGCAUAACUCCGGGAAACCGGGGCUAAUAGCAGAUGAUGCAGCGGCUCGACAUCGAGACAGUUGUUAAAGCUAUGGCGCCUGAAGAUGAGCCUGCGUCUGAUUAGCUAGUUGGCGGGGUAACGGCCCACCAAGGCAACGAUCAGUAGCUGGUCUGAGAGGAUGAUCAGCCACACUGGAACUGAGACACGGUCCAGACUCCUACGGGAGGCAGCAGUAAGGAAUAUUGCUCAAUGGGAGAAAUCCUGAAGCAGCAACGCCGCGUGAGGGACGAAGGGCUUUUGCUUGUAAACCUCUGUAGUGAGAGAAAAAAAUCCCAAUCUUUGGGACAGGAUGGGAUCUCAAAAGUAAGCCCCGGCUAACUACGU